AUUGAACGCUGGCGGCAGGCCUAACACAUGCAAGUCGAACGGUAGCACAGAGGAGCUUGCUCCUUGGGUGACGAGUGGCGGACGGGUGAGUAAUGUCUGGGAAACUGCCCGAUGGAGGGGGAUAACUACUGGAAACGGUAGCUAAUACCGCAUAACGUCGCAAGACCAAAGAGGGGGACCUUCGGGCCUCUUGCCAUCGGAUGUGCCCAGAUGGGAUUAGCUAGUAGGUGGGGUAACGGCUCACCUAGGCGACGAUCCCUAGCUGGUCUGAGAGGAUGACCAGCCACACUGGAACUGAGACACGGUCCAGACUCCUACGGGAGGCAGCAGUGGGGAAUAUUGCACAAUGGGCGCAAGCCUGAUGCAGCCAUGCCGCGUGUAUGAAGAAGGCCUUCGGGUUGUAAAGUACUUUCAGCGAGGAGAGAAGGCAUUGUGGUUAAUAACCGCAGCAAUAGACGUACUCGCAGAAGAAGCCCCGCAAUC
rnacentral:rRNA from 1 species